UGGCAAUUAAUGAAACGAUAAGUGGGCAACAUAUGGAUGCUUCACAAAACACAAAGUCCCUACCAAAUUCCCCCAAAAGCUAGUGAGUUAAGAUUAUUUAGUUUCUGGUACGACGUUGCCCAAAUUGUAAAUCAGAAUUCAUACGAUCUUAGAGUUAUUCUCUCUUUUUCUGCGAGGAAUCUUAGAGUUAUUCUAAAUCUGCAGCAACAAGAAAAUUCCGGCCUGGGUUUCAAGACUUCUCUACUGUGUGCCCAUAUUUGCAUGUAUGUGGAAGCACAAAUGAGAAACACGGAAAAACACCUCCAAGGAUGGUUCAUCUUGAAAAAUGAAUUCAGGAUUUGAAGUCAUAAACUAAAGAAUUUCGAUUUCAGUUUGCAGAAUGGAUGUACUAGCAUAUAGACCAAGGAGAAACUGUGUUAAAAAAGCAUCAAGAAAAAUAUCUUCAGUAACACGACUUUGUUUCAGAUGUUAACCGCUAGAGGCCUAUUGAAUAUUUUCUAAAUAUAAUGUUAUUGCUAGCACAUCAUGCACCCAACAAAGAAAAUACUCACAGAUCACACGAGUGACUUAAGCAAACCGACACAACAGCGCGACAAACAAAUUAAGUAUAGUCCCCACCAUAUGUUCCAAUGUAGCAGCAACAAAAAUACAGUUCCUGCAGGUUUAGCAACUCAUCCGAGCAUAUUUACGCGGUACAUCAUAAUAACAUUAAAACAGAUUGGUUCAACUUAAAAACCGACAAUGAUCAAAGAUAACACGUACAUGACCAAAUGUAUGACCCAGGUUUAGUGUUGCUCGAAGACCAUUUUCCUUCUCAUCCUGCGCAACCACUUCAGCUUUGUUUUCACAUGAUCUCUUUAUUGCGUAGGUCAGGGCACUUGGUUCUCUACAAACAGGAAAUCCAAAUCAAGACGUAUUUAUAAUUCGUAUGAUCUUAACAAAUUGUGGUAUUGUGCCAUUCCCCUUCUUCCUUCUGUCCAUCACCGAAGGUCCGAAAGAACAGAAACAGCCAAGUCCCAAGGCAAUGAAGUGGCCAGCGCCCAGCGAGGCAGGCACGCAGCCGCGCCCGGCCAGUCGUGGAGUCACUGACCCCCCGGCUCCCGCUGUCCCUCCUCGGCUCCUCCAGGCUCUAGUCCUCCGGACUCCUUGUCCUCCCUGACUCCCUCUCCGGUUCUCCCAGUCUCGCUGGCUCCCUACUUCCCUAAUCCCUAGCGACUAGCGCCGCCGCCAGGCUCCAUGAGAGCGGAGCGAACGAGGAACGAGCCUCUUCUGGUUUCUGGACGGGGCGAUCGAACCAGUCCCCACUCCCCAGGCCGAGCGCAAGCACAAUGACUGCCAGCCUCCCAGGCCCAUAGAGGCAUAGAGCGAUUCCCAGGCCCAAGAGGCAAAAUCACAAUACCAUUAUGGUAGGGCGGGCCCGAAAAAUUAUGUUCUUACUUCUGAUGAACUGUUUCUCAAACAAAAAAACUUCUGAUUAACUGUUUCUUUUCGCUAAAAAACAUUGUUUCUUGUUAUCUUUCAGUUUCGCACAAGUGAGCUGCUAGAGAGUGUCACUCAAAAGUCUAUAUUGACACACGUCGGAGGUCAUAAAAGUCAGGCGAUGCUGGAUAUUUAACAUGCUGUAAGAAAAAAAAAAGAUGUGAUUAGUUGUGAUAUUUAUUUUCGUGAGAUAUAUUAUACAUUAUACACGUGCUAUUUACAUAAUUUUAAAGCCUCUUUUCCGAAAAAAUAUACAUAAUUUUCAAUCUAUGGAGCAAUUUUCACGUCUGAUUUCAAAAAUAAAUAAUGUAAUAUUUCUUCGCACAAUGCUUGUAUUUUUUAUCCUUUUUGUGUGUUGUCUGCCAUGUCUUUUGGAGGAUAUUAUUACCUUGCUCCGUCAAUAACACCAUGCAGAGCAAAAACCGUUAUACAAAUUUCAAAUUUGUUCUAGCAGUCAUGCAUGACACAUACCAAUAAUGCAGCAAAGUGUUGUUAGGAAUGGUCGACCUCUUGUUUGUCGAGUGUGGAAGCUAAAUUUUUCAUAGUUCCACGUUAAGAUUAGGUGUUUGGUGCAUCUCCAUCCAUCGAUUUCAAAAGGCAGCAUGAUUUGUGAGACCGCAAAGCAACUCAGUGUGGCGAGGUGGUGGAAAAAAUCAGGGGUAAAACCCAAUAUAUGUGGAGAGCGAGGAAGACAUAUGUGUUGUCAUAUACUCCAUCCGAUAAUAAAUUCUUGUCAUUGAAAACAGUCCGCUGGAUACAUUGGAGAUGAAAACAUCCAACGAGAGAGGAGAGUCACAGAGCACAUGGUGGUCGCCUGAGAGAAAGUUAGUAGGGAGGAAGCCAGCAGGGGGGACGUGUUGGUAUUCCCACGACACGACUGUCUGGACCACACCUAAGCACCUAGCUUUGUGCUCAUCGCGCAUGUUUUUGAAAUAUAACUAGCAAUUGAUCAACGCAUCUAAACAUAUAUUAUUUGUAGGUCCGUAGCAAAGCACGGGCUUCUUGCUAGUAGGUCUAAUGCCGCACUUUCUCUUGCUAUAUUUUUCUUAAAUCUGAGUAACGUUUUGUGGCAGAGCAUGCUAAUAAUAUCAACUUUAGAACCUGCUGAGUAGUACCUCGCUAACAAUGCUGUCAUAUUCUUCUCUUGCCACUCAAAGAAAGGUGCAUCUCUUACGAGCGCUAACUUCACCACCUCACCUAUGCCUGAAACCAGCUCCCUGUCAGGCAAUGUAUUCAGUGUUUCUGUGUCUAUCAGUACGCACUGUGGCUGGUAGAAUGUCCCGAUUAAGUUCUUUCCCAGUGGAUGGUUAAUGGCCGUCUUCCCUCCAACAGACGAAUCCAUCUAAAAGCAAUUCAUACAACGACCCACAUUAGAAACCAAAUCAGAUGUCCUCAGAACUCUAUUAAUCUUAAUCGAGCUUAGUGUAUACGUACCUGGGCCAUCAGAGACGUUGGUAUCUGUAUGAAAUUGACGCCACGGAGGAACGCAGAAGCCGCAAGCCCACACAUGUCCCCGAUGACACCACCCCCUAGCGCGACAAACGUGCACCUGCGGUCCAGCCGAGCCUCCACCGCCUUGUGAAAAACCUUCAUCAGCGUGUCCUGCACAUUGAUUAUUACAACAAGUUACACUAAUUACAUCCAAAUGAACUGAAGCACGAGCAGAAGGCUGGAUCCCGCACGCACCAUGACCUUGUACUUCUCUCCGUCAGGCAGGAUCACGCUCUCCACUGAAACAUUCGGGUUGUCGUGCGUGAGUGCCCAGGUCACUUUCUCCAGGUAGAGCGGCGCGACGGUGGUGUUGGUAACCACCAGAAGCCUCUUCCCGAUCACAUGCCUGGGCGGAUUAAAACACUAGGAUCACGAAAUGACCAACACGCGCGGAGUCACCAAUGGAGCAAAAUCAAAGAUCAUGAUGAUCCUGAGUACCUCUGCAGCAGGUCGGGCUCGUCCAGGAGGCCGGGGCCGAUGUAGAUCGGGUAGCUCCGGUCGCCGAGAUCGACGUCGACCACCGUGGAGACGCGGGACUCCACCGGCGGCUGCAUCGCGGGAGCAGCGGCAGAGACGAGACGGCUCCGGAGGGACGUCGCGGGGGAAUUAGCGCGGAGCAGAUGAGGGCAGGAGGAGCGAGACGGCGAGGGGGUGGAGAUAGCCACGCAGGAGGCGGAGGCAGCGGCGAGGAAGGAAGAGGCGGUCGCCGCCAUGGGCAACGAAACGGAGAGGGCGGCGGCGGCGGAGGAUGUUCGGCAGUGGUACGUUGUGCCUCGUACUGCGCUUUUUUUUCUCUUGAGCUGGAGAGAUCCCGUUACUUAAACUGUGCCAAGCAGAUCGCCGGCAACGAUGUCCUGUACAAGAUAGAAUCCGGCCAUGCUGCUUGGGACGGAUUGAACAGUUCGCAUCGGCUACCGGUAUGGCACGCAAUGGGGACGAUGUAGAUUGUCGUCUUUUUGAUAAUGAGAUUUUGAAGAUAGCUUACCACGUUUACCGCGUGGUGGAUGUCACGUAGAUGUCGUCUUUAUGAACGCUGAGAGAUAAAGUCUGCAAUCAACAUCCGAUCUCGAAAGUUGCACUCCACCCCCACCUGGCGCUCGUAAAGUUUCAUGCUCGCUAAAGUUAUGUCAAGAUCAUUCGGUUCCUUGUUGUUUGUGUUCGAAACACAGAAGUUCCCCUGCAUUUCAUCAUCGAGCUCAGGUAGCUGCACUGCUAGCUGUGCCAUGCUGGGCUUCAUAGAGUCAGCAAGGCUUUUCAAGUCUGAACACUUGAGGCUUGCAACAAGCAACACAAUACAGCCCAGUCCAAGAUAAAAAUGAAGAACUGUCGGACAAGUAAAGGGACUGAACUGUACACUUGUUAUGCUCCUCAAGAUCGACACAAUCAUCACACGAUUUCUGAAUUUCGAUAGCAUGCAGCAAGCCAGCGACAGAUCAGUGUGUGGUAAAAGAAACAGUAUAUAUACACUUGUUAUUGAACAGCUAGGACACACAUAUUGUACACUUUGUCAUGCAACAACACUAUCUUUAUAAUAUCUUAUAAGCUUUAUUACAAUAGAAGUAAAGCCGUCAGGAAUCGCUAACGGCGAUAUACUAGAAACAAACUCCGUUAUUCAAAACAACUGAUCAAAAUUGAUCAGCUACGGAGAUGCCCUACAAGCCCCUAACCAGAUUCCGUUAUUUUCGACAAAAAGAAUAACAACAAGGAUAUCAUACAAUGCACACUGUUUCUGAUAAGAUAUGAUAUUACAGCCUAUUUAGUAUACAAAAGUGCUGAAGAUCCAACUGAGAAGGAUCAGUUAUCGCAGAAUGCACGGAGGGUUUCAUCAAGGGCUUUUCUGUCAUAAUCGCCAGUAAAAACACAGCCUCCCAGAGGUCCUUUCAGAAGGAUGAGCCUCAGCAAACCAUCAGCAACCUUCUUGUCGACCUGAUAUGUGUCAUUGCGAAAAUCAGGUAAGACUGCUCUUUUUUUUGUACGAGUUUUUUUUGUACGAGGUAAGAAUGCUCUUCGAUACUAAAGCGACAACUUAAGAUGUCAAGACGUAUAUGUCUGCUAGAGCGAUGCAUGCAAAAUAAUAAAUAAAAAGAAGACAACAGUUUGAACUUCUGCCAUUAUUAAGAUACUUACAGCCAUAAUCUUUUUGAACUUCUCCACUGUCAUGCCCUUUGGUGGUGCAACAGGAAGCUUGGCUUGCUCUAGUAUGUCAAAUAUCCGUCUUUUGAGGGGCUCAUCUAUCCAGCCCAGCCGGUAAGACAUGUCGGCUGCCAUAACCUAUGGAAGUGGCAUCCCGGAAACAGAAGAAGAUGGUAAGAAAACGAGAUAAAAAAUCAUGAUUAAGUGGUUAUACCAAAAUAUUCAUGUGAUCUUACUGUUCCAGCUGCAACAGCCUCCCCGUGGAGCCACUCUCCAUAGCCAAGCCCUGUUUCUAUAGCCUAGCAAUUAAAAUGAAACGAUCAGUGGGUAACAGGGAUGCUCCACAAAACAGAAGGUUGCUACCAAAUUCCCAUAAAAGCUAGUGAAUUAAGGUUGUUUAGUUUCUGGUACAACGGUGCCCAAAUUGUAUAUCAAAAUUCAUGCAAUCUUAGAGUGAUUCUAAAUCUGUAGCAACAAACAAAUUCCAGCCUGGGUGUCAAGAUUUCUCAAUUUUGUCUUAUAGUUGCAUGUAUGUGGAGGCACAAAUGAGAAACACGGAAAAGCAUCAUGAAAAAUGAAUUCAGGAUUUAAGGUACUAAAGAAAUUCGAAUUGUGUUUGCAGAACAGAUGUACGCCCUCCGUCCCAUAAUUCUUGUCGAAAUAUUACAUGUAUCUAGACACCUUUUUAAAAAUAGAUACAUCCAUUUUGGGGCAAAUUUGAGACAAGAAUUAUGGGACGGAGGGAGUAGCAUAUAGACCAAGGAGAAAGUGUGUUAAACAAGCAUCAAGAAAAAUAUCUUCAGUAACACAACUUUGUUUCAGAUGUAAACCGCCAAAGGCCUAUUGAAUAUUUUCUAAAUAGAAUUUUGUUGCUACCCCCAUCAAGCACCCAACAAAGGAAAUACUUACAGAUCACAUUGAAUGACUUAAGCAAAUAGACACGACUCUUUGUUGUUUUCUUUUCAAUUUUUAACAUGCGACAAAAAAAUAAGUACAGGAGUAGUCCCCACCAAAUGCUUCAAUGAAGCAGCAACAAAAAUACACUUACUGCAUGUUUAGCAAGUCAUCCGAGUAUAUUUAUGUUUGCACAUGAUAAUAGCAUUAUAAUAGAUUAAUUAGUUCAACAUAAAAACCAACAAUGAUCAAAGGUAACACAUACAUGACCAAAUGUAUGACCCAGGUUUAGUGUUGCUCGGAGACCACUUUCCUUCUCAUCCUGGGCAACCACUUCAGCUUUGUUUUCACACGAUCUCUUUAUAGCAUAGGUCAGGGCACUUGGU
rnacentral:lncRNA from 1 species